GAGCGGGAAUGCCUGUAAACUCCUCUCCCUCAAGCUCUUCUGGCCACUCGGAGUUACUUUCCACCUCCUUCACUCCCACACGCAAAUCCUGCUCGAGCAGGAGGGAGCGUAGGGAGGGAUAAUGGAUGGCCUUUAUAUGUGGGAGCCCUGCAGGGGAGUUACCGAUGGAGACAGGCACGCAAGGGUGCGCAGAGGCAGCGCAGCCCUCGGUGCGGUGUGCGUGGAUGUGGGGCGAGGCCGGCCGCAGCCCGAGGGCUGUGCGUGCACCUCUCGAGGGCAAGAAACGUGCAGCAGGGGCUGCCCGGCCACGGAGGAGAGGUGCUCAUGAGCCCUCAGUGCCCACUGCCGGGAUGUAAGAUUCAUCAUUCCCGGCUGCAGAGGAGUUGGAGCGUGCACAGGAACUCACAGCGUUUCCUACGCAGGGCAGUGACACCGUCUCGCGCUGACUCGCAAGUGCACGACGGCAGCCACGGCGUCCUCCUUGGGUCAGGGGCCCCCCAGGUGCUGUUCUCCGUGAGCGCUUUCCUCCAGCGUCAGGGAUGCUUUCUUUGCCUUUAUUUGGGUAGUUAAUCCAGGCUCUUCUUUGAUUUUUGGCCCCUCUGCGCAGAGGCGAACCUGAUCAAGGACUGGAGGUGGUUUAAGAUGGAGUUUGUUUAUCCAGCUGGAGGCAAGGGUUAGUCUCAACUCCUCUGUAGCUCAAGCCACAGCACGCUGCUCUUGCAGCAAGGGUACAGGCAGGAUGACUUUGGUGUCGGUAGUCCUCUGGUGCUCCCUGAAAACGAGUUCUCGUGCAGCUGAAACAGCCGUGGAAGAAACCAAAAGCUGCUUAAAAUGGAGACUUCACACCCCUGGCGCAAUGGGUCAGUGCAGGAGCUGCGCGGACUCCUGCGGUGAGGGCUUUGGCACAGGGCUGCUGGCACGUGGAGGUGGCCAACCCAGGGCUCAGCCCCGCGCUGGCAGCAGGGAAGACUUGCCCUGUUCCCUUGCAGGUCCGUGAAACGCUCUUGCUUGGGAUCCCUUCCAUCUCUGUGCUGCGAGAUCCGUGUGGCAGCUCCUGGGAGAGGCUGCCUCAGCCACCAGCGCUGACCCAGGCCCUUCAAUGUCAUCGUCCCCUCGGUGUUUCACGUUCAUGUCAUCCUCGGGCCGCUACGUUGGCAGUGCCAGGGCGCAGCGACUGGUUCGUCCUCCCUGCCUCUUGCUGCUCCAACCCGAACGAGCAGGCAGCUUCAGCACCAAGUCUGUACUGAAAGCGUUUGGGGUAGCCUUAAUGUGACACACGGUCCCUGCUGAGGCUUGUUACUGAAAUACUCUGCUCUGACCCUGUGUUGCGAUGCUCCUGUUCCCAUUGCAGAACGACUUGCCUUGGAUCAGCGCCGCGAACAAUCUAAG